rnacentral:rRNA from 1 species
CCACAUUGGGACUGAGAUACGGCCCAGACUCCUACGGGAGGCAGCAGUGGGGAAUAUUGCACAAUGGGCGCAAGCCUGAUGCAGCGACGCCGCGUGAGGGAUGGAGGCCUUCGGGUUGUAAACCUCUUUUAUCGGGGAGCAAGCGAGAGUGAGUUUACCCGUUGAAUAAGCACCGGCUAACUACGUGCCAGCAGCCGCGGUAAUACGUAGGGUGCAAGCGUUAUCCGGAAUUAUUGGGCGUAAAGGGCUCGUAGGCGGUUCGUCGCGUCCGGUGUGAAAGUCCAUCGCUUAACGGUGGAUCCGCGCCGGGUACGGGCGGGCUUGAGUGCGGUAGGGGAGACUGGAAUUCCCGGUGUAACGGUGGAAUGUGUAGAUAUCGGGAAGAACACCAAUGGCGAAGGCAGGUCUCUGGGCCGUUACUGACGCUGAGGAGCGAAAGCGUGGGGAGCGAACAGGAUUAGAUACCCUGGUAGUCCACGCCGUAAACGGUGGAUGCUGGAUGUGGGGCCCGUUCCACGGGUUCCGUGUCGGAGCUAACGCGUUAAGCAUCCCGCCUGGGGAGUACGGCCGCAAGGCUAAAACUCAAAGAAAUUGACGGGGGCCCGCACAAGCGGCGGAGCAUGCGGAUUAAUUCGAUGCAACGCGAAGAACCUUACCUGGGCUUGACAUGUUCCCGACGGUCGUAGAGAUACGGCUUCCCUUCGGGGCGGGUUCACAGGUGGUGCAUGGUCGUCGUCAGCUCGUGUCGUGAGAUGUUGGGUUAAGUCCCGCAACGAGCGCAACCCUCGCCCCGUGUUGCCAGCGGAUUAUGCCGGGAACUCACGGGGGACCGCCGGGGUUAACUCGGAGGAAGGUGGGGAUGACGUCAGAUCAUCAUGCCCCUUACGUCCAGGGCUUCACGCAUGCUACAAUGGCCGGUACAACGGGAUGCGACGCGGCGACGCGGAGCGGAUCCCUGAAAACCGGUCUCAGUUCGGAUCGCAGUCUGCAACUCGACUGCGUGAAGGCGGAGUCGCUAGUAAUCGCGAAUCAGCAACGUCGCGGUGAAUGCGUUCCCGGGCCUUGUACACACCGCCCGUCAAGUCAUGAAAGUGGGCAGCACCCGAAGCCGGUGGCCUAACCCCUUGUGGGAUGGAGCCGUCUAAGGUGAGGCUCGUGAUUGGGACUAAGUCGUAACAAGGUAGCCGUACCGGAAGGUGCGGCUG